rnacentral:rRNA from 1 species
ACGCUAGCUACAGGCUUAACACAUGCAAGUCGAGGGGCAUCAGGAAGAAAGCUUGCUUUCUUUGCUGGCGACCGGCGCACGGGUGAGUAACACGUAUCCAACCUGCCCUUUACUCGGGGAUAGCCUUUCGAAAGAAAGAUUAAUACCCGAUGGCAUAAUGAUUCCGCAUGGUUUCAUUAUUAAAGGAUUCCGGUAAAGGAUGGGGAUGCGUUCCAUUAGGUUGUUGGUGAGGUAACGGCUCACCAAGCCUUCGAUGGAUAGGGGUUCUGAGAGGAAGGUCCCCCACAUUGGAACUGAGACACGGUCCAAACUCCUACGGGAGGCAGCAGUGAGGAAUAUUGGUCAAUGGGCGCUAGCCUGAACCAGCCAAGUAGCGUGAAGGAUGAAGGCUCUAUGGGUCGUAAACUUCUUUUAUAUAAGAAUAAAGUGCAGUAUGUAUACUGUUUUGUAUGUAUUAUAUGAAUAAGGAUCGGCUAACUCCGUGCCAGCAGCCGCGGUAAUACGGAGGAUCCGAGCGUUAUCCGGAUUUAUUGGGUUUAAAGGGAGCGUAGGUGGACUGGUAAGUCAGUUGUGAAAGUUUGCGGCUCAACCGUAAAAUUGCAGUUGAUACUGUCAGUCUUGAGUACAGUAGAGGUGGGCGGAAUUCGUGGUGUAGCGGUGAAAUGCUUAGAUAUCACGAAGAACUCCGAUUGCGAAGGCAGCUCACUGGACUGCAACUGACACUGAUGCUCGAAAGUGUGGGUAUCAAACAGGAUUAGAUACCCUGGUAGUCCACACAGUAAACGAUGAAUACUCGCUGUUUGCGAUAUACAGUAAGCGGCCAAGCGAAAGCAUUAAGUAUUCCACCUGGGGAGUACGCCGGCAACGGUGAAACUCAAAGGAAUUGACGGGGGCCCGCACAAGCGGAGGAACAUGUGGUUUAAUUCGAUGAUACGCGAGGAACCUUACCCGGGCUUAAAUUGCAGUGGAAUGAUGUGGAAACAUGUCAGUGAGCAAUCACCGCUGUGAAGGUGCUGCAUGGUUGUCGUCAGCUCGUGCCGUGAGGUGUCGGCUUAAGUGCCAUAACGAGCGCAACCCUUAUCUUUAGUUACUAACAGGUUAUGCUGAGGACUCUAGAGAGACUGCCGUCGUAAGAUGUGAGGAAGGUGGGGAUGACGUCAAAUCAGCACGGCCCUUACGUCCGGGGCUACACACGUGUUACAAUGGGGGGUACAGAAGGCAGCUAGCGGGUGACCGUAUGCUAAUCCCAAAAGCCUCUCUCAGUUCGGAUCGAAGUCUGCAACCCGACUUCGUGAAGCUGGAUUCGCUAGUAAUCGCGCAUCAGCCACGGCGCGGUGAAUACGUUCCCGGGCCUUGUACACACCGCCCGUCAAGCCAUGGGAGCCGGGGGUACCUGAAGUACGUAACCGCAAGGAUCGUCCCAGGGUAAAACUGG